GACGAACGCUGGCGGCGUGCCUAAUACAUGCAAGUCGAACGCAGUGGGGACGGGUGAGUAACACGUGGGUAACCUCCCAUCAGAGGGGGUAACACUUGGAAACAGGUGCUAAACCGAUACUGAUGGAUGGACCCGCGGUGCAUUAGCUAGUUGGUGGGGUAACGGCUCACCAAGGCCACGAUGCAUAGCCGACCGGAGAGGGGUACCGGCAACAUUGGAACUGAUGUACGGCCCAGACGCCUAAGGGAGGCAGCAGUGGGAAAUAUGCGGAAAUGGACGAAAGUCUGACCGAGCAACGCCGCGGGAGUGAAGAAGGUUUUCGUGUCGUAAACCUCUGUUGUGAGAGAAGCGGUAUCUAACCAGAAAGCCACGGCUAACUACGUGCCAGCCGCCGCGGUAAUUC
rnacentral:rRNA from 1 species